rnacentral:rRNA from 1 species
GAUGAACGCUAGCGGCAGGCUUAAUACAUGCAAGUCGAGGGGCAGCGCAGUGUAGCAAUACAUGGGCGGCGACCGGCAAACGGGUGCGGAACACGUACACAACCUUCCUACAAGUGGGGAAUAGCCCAGAGAAAUUUGGAUUAAUACCCCGUAACAUAGCGAUGUGGCAUCACAUUGCUAUUAUAGCUUCGGCGCUUGUUGAUGGGUGUGCGGCUGAUUAGAUAGUUGGCGGGGUAACGGCCCACCAAGUCUACGAUCAGUAGCUGAUGUGAGAGCAUGAUCAGCCACACGGGCACUGAGACACGGGCCCGACUCCUACGGGAGGCAGCAGUAAGGAAUAUUGGACAAUGGACGCAAGUCUGAUCCAGCCAUGCCGCGUGAAGGAUUAAGGUCCUCUGGAUUGUAAACUUCUUUUAUAAGGGACGAAAAAAGGUCUUUCUAGAUCGUCUGACGGUACCUUAUGAAUAAGCACCGGCUAACUCCGUGCCAGCCGCCGCAGUAAAAC